UUUACAAUCCCUGCACGCAUUCCUUCCUCUUACACGAAACUACACAAACCCAUUGAGAAUCUACUAGCGAGAUCUAGUCUUUCGUUAUCAAUAUUCAUUUGUGCAUUUGUUCAGAAAUCCAUUGAAGGAAGAAAUCUGCAAGGAAUCGAUCGUACUGUGAAAAGUGAUCGUUCGAUGCGAUCUGAGCUCGUAGAUCGGUCUGAAGCUUCCAUUUCGAGGAUUUUUUUUAAGCAUUCCUUUUCCUGGCUAUCAGGUAAUUGGUUGGGUGGUUGAAUACCAAGAUAUUCUGAUUGGGCUUGGAGUUGAUGAGUUUUUAGCCCAAGUGUGCUCUGAGAGCGGUGCAAUGGAUCCUCUUAUGAACUCUUAUGUUGAGAGAAUGCAAGCUACAACUAGGGUAAUCCUCUUAUUUUUAAAAUGUGUUAAUUUAUUCUAGUAACUUAGUUUCCCUGGGUCCGGAGUGAUGACACUACCAAGCGCAUGGUUGUCUCCUCUUGCAAUGGUUUGAUAUGGUUAGUAUUUAGUUCUAACUGUUAUUAUAUGAUGUUCCCCUUAUUAUUCCAAGUGGUACUCUCAUUACGUUAGGUUGAACCCUUGUCAUUUUUCAAAGGGGUGUUA